rnacentral:lncRNA from 1 species
UGCGCGAAUCUGAAAUCCCUAUGAUGCUGCUGAAGCUUGCCCUAAAGGUACCACAGACGAUGUUGGACAAAGUGGGGUUGGUCUCAUCCGUCUAGUCAACAUCGGACAGUCCACCUCUCUCUGUAUCGCUGCACACCGAAUUGAAACCAGCGGCGGGCAAACGGAGCCAAAACGAUCAAAGUUGGAAAAAGGGCCUUGGGCAAAGAGGAGACCG